GAUCUCUCCUUGGUGGAGUUUUCUCCUGUGAGCAUUGAUCUUUGGAGAUAGGUUGUUUUAGCUUCCUUUUGCAAGCUUCUGCCACUCUCAGAUGCCAGCAAAGUAGCUUCCUGUUCUGUUCAAAGCAAAAUCAGCAGCAUUAUUUUGAACUUUGAACUGUUGCUUUCCAGCUACAAGAAGGGUCACACUCAGACUCUAUUCCAUCUCGCUAACAACGGGUUCUCAUGCAGUUUGAGAGAGAGCUUAUAUUUCAACGUUAAGGUAUAUUUUCCAAAAACUGAUUCAUAUGAAUCUUGUGGAUAACUGCCUAGUUCUGUCUAUAGCCUCUAAAGAAUGCUUGAUCCUGCUGCCUAAGCCACCGAGCACAUCCAACUGGAUAUCAGAGCACUUUUAUCUUUCUCUGCAGAGCAAAAUACUGCGCAGCAUGUGCUCCUCAUCAGAAAGGACUUAGAAGGAAG
ensembl:lncRNA